rnacentral:rRNA from 1 species
GACGAACGCUGGCGGCGGGCUUAACACAUGCAAGUCGAACGGAAAGGCCCUGCUUUUUUGGGGUGCCCGAGUGGCGAACGGGUGAGAAACACGUGAGUAUCCUGCCCUUGACUUUGGGAUAACUUCAGGAAACUGGGGCUACUACCGGAUAGGAGCUGCUGCAGGAUGGGGGGGGUUGGAACUUUUGGGCUGGUGGGGAUGGAUUCGCGGCUUAUCAGCUGGUUGGUGGGGGAGUGGCUUACCCAGCCAUUGACGGAUAGCCGGCAUGGGAGGGUGACCGGGGUCAAUAGGACUGAGAUACGGCGCAGUCUCGAACAGGAGACAGCAGGCGGGAGUAUUGUACAGUGGGCGCGAGCGUGAGGAGGCGGCGCCGGGUGCGUGAUGACGGCCUUCGGGUUGUGAACCGCAGUAGCCUGAGACGAAGCGGGUGUGACGGUAAUGGGAGAAGAAGCACCGGCUAACUACGUG